rnacentral:rRNA from 1 species
UACGGAGGGGGCUAGCGUUGUUCGGAAUUACUGGGCGUAAAGCGCGCGUAGGCGGACCUGCAAGUCGGGGGUGAAAGCCCGGGCUCAACUCCGGAACUGCCUUUAAGACUGCAUCGCUAGAAUUGUGGAGAGGUAAGUGGAAUUCCGAGUGUAGAGGUGAAUUCGAUAGAUAUUCGGAAGAACACCAGUGGCGAAGGCGACUACUGGACACAUAUUGACGCUGAG